UCAAAAGACACUCCGGAGGAGGCAGGGAGGGAGAGAGUUAGGGAAGCCUUUCUUCUUAAAAAUGUUUGUGCAGCCGUUCAGGAACCUAUCUGUGUGACGACUUUUCGGUUAAAGGACACUCUUCUCUUUGACAUUAUGUCUGGUGCAAUGCACUGAGUGCCAUAGGCUUUCACAAAGGACCCAUAUUGCAAUGAAUUGUGAGUGCUGUAUGUGGCCGGACAAUUUUCGUCACAGAGAUUCCCAAGUUGAAGCUUUUUUGCAAGCUAUGUUUCACGGACUCGGGUACAUGUAUUGGGUGCAGGUUUUUUUUUCUUUAGUGUCUAAUUCUUCUAAUUCCCAUAUAUAAUGACACGCGGACAGACAAUCUUUAGAUUUUUUGUUAUAUUUUCUGCUCUAAAAUGCUGUUUUGAAGGUACUCUAGGACAUAUUGUAUCUAAGAGGGGUUUUGUAGAUACUUAUAUCAGUUACAUGGUAAACUGAAAUAACUAAAUAUGCUUGUUGGGUAGAUGUCCAACUGCACCUGUCCGAACAUAUGAAUGUGUCGAGCAUUCAAUCUGGGUACUUGUGCAUUUAGAAGGGUCCAUGUAACAUACUUGCAGGUAUUUUGUUCCUUCUUGACACCUCUUUUCAGCUCCUCCUAGGGCCUUUGUUGAGGAGAGGUUUUGUAGUUUGGUAGUUAGCUCACAGCAGUGUUCUUUGCUCCCCUUCCCCUAGGAGCUAGGAUAGAGUUCUCUCUUCCGUUCUUCUACAUGUUGAAGCUAGUAACAUGUUGACUGCAAACGGGUGGUUGGUAAGGACUGAGGACUAACCAAAUCAAACCGAGUCUUAUGUCUCAAUCACUUGGGGUCGCCUACAUGAAUCAUUUUCCUCGAUUGAGCUCUGUCAAGGACCACUUGUUCACACAAACCUACUAUGAUCAUGUCUUUGAGGACUAUCCUCAGAAACAAAGUGAGGCUUCCUGUGGUAAGGACUGAUUACUAUCCCCGGAAACUAAGUGGGGCUACCUGUAGAGCACUUAUCACUGCCCCAAAUAAGCUCACAAAGCCUUUGAUGCAACAACACUGUGUCAAGAAUCCUUUGUCUUCCUAUAUUUCUUGAAGGCCUGUCAUUUGUCCAAUCACGGAUAUCAUAUCUUUCUCCUUCUUUAUCCUUCCUCUUUGCACUUCUACCUGCACUGAAUCAUUCCUUCUCAGUGUCGCCGACAUCUGUUUUCAUGUUCUUGAUGGACCCAUCAGAAACAUUUUUUCUCCCUCGUCUUCUGUAGUUGAAGUCAUUAACUUUGCCUUUGAUCUAACUGUUUAAUGGGUUCAAUCUCUUUCCCAGUUUUUAGUCUCUGUUUAGUUACUGAUGUGAUACUUCGUAUGUAUUUUUUGAGGGAUUGUUGUUCAGAGAUAUUGUACCGUAUCAUUUGUUGUCAUUCCUAUGCAUCAGGUUGUCAUACAAUAAGACUUCAGUGGACUGUGCUGGGGCAUUAUUCUAUUCUAUGAUGAAAUUGGCAAUAGAAACUCCCCAUAGUUCAAUUAGUGAAUUGUUUGCAAAUGCUACAAGUGUAAUUGGCACAUGGAAAAGACUGCUAAAGUCUUACUUGCCCAGCCUAGAUGAGGAGAUUGAAGUGAUAUAUUGAAAUUUGAAGAAAUGUGCUUGGAAUCUGCUUAAGAAUUUUCUUCAUUAUUUGCAAAGGUUUUGCACCAUCUGUACGAUAUAGAAAUUUUACAAGAAGAAGCUAUUCUUAACUGGGCCGCUGAAAAAGAAGGGGCAGAUGAAUCUGAUAAAGUUUUUCUUAAGCAGUCGGAAAUAUUCAUCGAGUGGCUUAAUGAGGCAUCUGAGGAAGAAGAUUGACAAGAUGCAAAUGGGUAUCUUACUAAUAGAUGAGUUUUUGUCCGAGGCAUUGUCAAUUCAGUCUGUCGUCUCUUAUGGUGCUUAUGUUUGGCCGCCGGUUUUGUCCAUGUGUAGAAAGAAAUAGUGACCCGAGGAAAAACAACUUAAAAGUUCUUGGAAAUUAAUCUGAGAUCCAUUUUUUGUGUAUUCAUCUCUCUCUCUCUCUUUCACAUUGUUGUGAAUUAUGAUAUAAUCCUGUGGAAAGACGCUAAUGUUCAAAGAUUGAAUAGUAAAUUGAGAAUCUCAAAAGGAACUUUGCAAAGCA